UUUUCUCCGCUAUACUCUUCAAAUCAAUGCCACGUGUUAAAUUCAUGGACCUCGAAUGGAUUCUCAAAAUUUCGGCACGUGCCUCAGCAGAUGGAGGUGGGAAUUCAAUUUUACGAUCAAUACGACCUGGACGAAGAAGAGCAGGAUCCAAGAUGUCGAUACGGUUAGUGGCCAUAAUGACCUUGAUAUUUUUGGUUGCUUCAAAUCCAUCAAGCUGAUUCAACAGCUCUAACAUGGUCCUCUGAACUUCGCUAUCGCCACUUCCACCACUAGAAUCAGAUCGUGAAGAGCCGAUGGAGUCGAUCUCAUCCAUGAAAAUAAUAGAAGGAGCAUGCUCACGAGCCAUAACAAAUAGUUCACGAACCAUACGACUACCUUCGCCAAUAUACUUUUGAACAAGUUCUGAUCCACUGACACGGAUGAAUUUGCAAUCGGUAUGGUGGGCAACUGCUCUAGCUAACAAGGUUUU